CAACACCUCAAGUGGUCAGGAUGAUUAUUGGGCCUAAAGCAUCCGUAGCCGGCGCUGUAAGUUUUCGGUUAAAUCUGUACGCUCAACGUACAGGCUGCCGGGAAUACUGCAGCGCUAGGGAGUGGGAGAGGUAGACGGUACUCGGUAGGAAGGGGUAAAAUCCUUUGAUCUAUUGAUGACCACCUGUGGCGAAGGCGGUCUACCAGAACACGUCCGACGGUGAGGGAUGAAAGCUGGGGGAGCAAACCGGAUUAGAUACCCGAGUAGUCC
rnacentral:rRNA from 1 species